GUGCUGCAUGGCAUGCGGAAUCUUAGCUCUCCGACCAGGGAUCAAACCCUAUGCCUCCUGUAGUGGAAGGGCGGAGUCUUAACCACUGGACCACCAGGGAAGUCUCAGAGACGGUGACCAGGAUGGCCUGGAAAAGGGUAUAGUGGUCUGACAUGGAGCAACGUACCUUGGUGUGCUGCACCUCACAGUGGAUUUUUGUAGAUACGAGGAGUGUGCUCUCUAAACUCCACUUGCUCUGGAGCCUGUAAAUG